rnacentral:rRNA from 1 species
GAUGAACGCUGGCUACAGGCUUAACACAUGCAAGUCGAGGGGAAACGACGGGGAAGCUUGCUUCCCCGGGCGUCGACCGGCGCACGGGUGAGUAACGCGUAUCCACCUGCCUCUGACUGAGGGAUAACCCGUCGAAAGUCGGCCUAAUACCUCAUGGCAUCGUCUGCGGGCAUCCAACGACGAUUAAAGAUUUCAUCGGUCAGGGAUGGGGAUGCGUCUGAUUAGUUAGUUGGCGGGGUAACGGCCCACCAAGGCGACGAUCAGUAGGGGUUCUGAGAGGAAGGUCCCCCACAUUGGAACUGAGACACGGUCCAAACUCCUACGGGAGGCAGCAGUGAGGAAUAUUGGUCAAUGGGCGAGAGCCUGAACCAGCCAAGUAGCGUGCAGGAAGACGGCCCUAUGGGUUGUAAACUGCUUUUAUGCGGGGAUAAAGUGAGGGACGUGUCCUUCAUUGCAGGUACCGCAUGAAUAAGGACCGGCUAAUUCCGUGCCAGCAGCCGCGGUAAUACGGAAGGUCCGGGCGUUAUCCGGAUUUAUUGGGUUUAAAGGGAGCGUAGGCCGUGGAUUAAGCGUGUUGUGAAAUGCAGGUGCUCAACGUCUGCACUGCAGCGCGAACUGGUUCACUUGAGUGUGCACAACGCAUGCGGAAUUCUUCGUGUAUCGUUGAAAUGCUUAGAUAUGACGAAGAACUCCUAUUGCGAAGGCUGCUUGCGGGAGCACAACUGACGCUGAAGCUCGAAAGUGCGGGUAUCGAACAGGAGUAGAUACCCUGGUGGUCCAAGGGCUAAUUCCACAGUGGAUAUCAAGCUUAUCGAUACCGUCGACCUCGAGGGGGGGGCCCGGUACCCAGCUUUUGUUCCCUUUAGUGGGGGUUAUUAGUGGUUGUUUUGUUUGUGCCGUGUCGUUGUAAUAUAUUUUAUUGUGUGUGUAGUUUGUUUUGUGGGUGCUGUG